UAUACACUUAAAUACUCAAAUCUAAAAUAUGCUUGCUAUAGAGUUUAUUUUGGUGCCUUAAAAUGAUUGAUUGUAAUGCAGAUGCAGAUGCAGAUAGGUAUAAUACACACACACACACAUAUAUAUAUAUAUAUAUAUAUAUAUCAUGCAGUGCAGCCUAUAUAUUGAGUAUUAUAUGGUGUUCAUGCAGGGAAUGGUUUGCUUUCUGAAGCACGAAGACUCUAAUGAGAAUUUAUCUCUUGCAUAAUUAAGAAAGCAUGUAGGAAAUUACAUAGAGAGGAGCAUAUACAAUUUCUUAAUUCCGCUGCUGAUGUGUGUACAUCAAAUAAUUAAGGGAAAAGAAUGGAAGUUAAGAUAGAGGUUUGUGGCAAGUUUUAACAAGUUUGGGGCAUUUAAUCAGAAUACUAUAGCUUGGUAUAGCACAACCAAUCUUCUUCAGUUCUUGAAAUGAUUGUAUGGUCUCAGGAUCAAAGCCACCUGCAAACUGAAAGGCAUAGUGGUUGAUGAGUUGGAGAAGAGGAAAUGUUAACUUAAGGGUGUUUCAUGAGGAUUGUACUCUACUCUACCUGGUGUACUCUGAAUGCAAACUUAACUCCUUGUACAAAGAGGUUACCUUCCUGCAAAACUUCAUUUGACUCUAGUUCCUUGCUUAUCCGUUUCAUGUAUUCCUUUGCCAGUCUCAAUGAACUUAGCUUCAUCUGCACUCAAUAACAAGAUAAAGCCUUUCAACUUUCAAUUCAUUUUGAUGCUAAUAUAACAUAGAGGGUAUGAAUUUUUUGGGUCAUUGAAAUCAUACUAUUCUGGCUGAAGCUUAAAAAGUUGUGUUAUAUUAUGGUCUCAAGGCAUAAACAACUGUCUACCUGACCAAUAAGGCCUGAGUCCAACAUCCACUCCCAAGGGAUAUGGAAAUUCCUGUAUCGUUUGCUAAUAGCUUCCCUCAUCCUCUCUUUAGCACUCACACUUCUCUCCAACCUGCAUAUUUGAAAGUGGCACUUUCAAUUGAUUUUAUGUAUUACUCAAAAGUUUUAGUAUGAAAAUUCUAAAUUUUGUACAUGCUCGCCUGUCUUGCAGUGCUUGUAUCUUUCUGAGAGUCUGAGACAAUGGCUCCUUGGGAUUGUCCUCAUAGGAUGAAACUUCAGAUUCAAGAUUCUUCAGAUCUCUGUAGUUGCAAGCUGCUUCCCUCAGUGCAUCCACUUUCUGUUCUGGCCACUGAGGAAAAU
rnacentral:lncRNA from 1 species